rnacentral:rRNA from 1 species
UACGAAGGGGGCUAGCGUUGUUCGGAAUCACUGGGCGUAAAGCGCACGUAGGCGGAUCUUUAAGUCAGGGGUGAAAUCCCAAGGCUCAACCUUGGAACUGCCUUUGAUACUGGAGAUCUUGAGUCCGGGAGAGGUGAGUGGAACUGCGAGUAUAGAGGUGAAAUUCGUAGAUAUUCGCAAAGAACACCAGUGGCGAAGGCGGCUCACUGGCCCGGUACUGACGCUGAGGUGCGAAAGCGUGGGGAGCAAAC